rnacentral:rRNA from 1 species
UACGUAGGGAGCAAGCGUUGACCGGAAUCAUUGGGCGUAAAGCGCGCGUAGGCGGCCUCAUAAGUCCGUUGUGAAAGUCAAAGGCUCAACCUUUGAAAGCCGAUGGAUACUGUGAGGCUAGAGUCCGGAAGAGGCGAGUGGAAUUCCUGGUGUAGCGGUGGAAUGCGCAGAUAUCAGGAGGAACACCAAUAGCGAAGGCAGCUCGCUGGGACGGUACUGACGCUAAGGCGCGAAAGCGUGGGGAGCGAACAGG